AAAAAGUAGUGAUUGAAAAUGAAACAUCAGAAAGUGAGGAAGAAUUAAGUGAUCAUGAAGGUGAAGCAGAAAUGCAAGUAAAGCAAAAGCAGAUGAAACGAGCACAGGGCCAAGUUCAGGAAACAAAAGUUAACAGUGUUUGCCAAGGUCGUAAACGAGUGAAGAGGACAAUGUGGAGUGAAGAAGAAACAAGAGCAGUGGAAAAACAUUUGGCCAAAUUUAUAAAUAUAUUUAAAGUGCCAGGAAAGAGAGAGUGUGAGGCCUGCAUCCAAAAUGAACCACAAGCUCUCAAAAAUAGAGAUUGGCUGGGUGUCAAAUUCUAUAUAAAAAAAUUGCCUCACUGAAGAGAAAGGUUUAAAACAAGUGUUUCCGCUAUAAAAGGUGUUCAUUCAAAAUUUAGUUAUGGGAAACAAGUUAAUCCGUUUACAUUAGGUCUUUUCAUGGUAAUUGAAAGCAGCAGUUCCAAAAAGCCAGUUACUUCUUUGCUCUUUAAAUAAUUUGUAUUUUGUACGUUUAUAUGCACUUACAUAAAGACAUACACACGGUUAAUAUUUGCAGGCUAUUUCUUCAUUUAGAAAAAUGAAGAAUAAUCUUAAAAGAGCAGUGCUAUUAGCCUAUUUAGAUUUAAUUUGUUUUCUCUUAAUUAUUAAUGCUCUUAGGUUAAUACAGAAAAAAUAGUUUUUCAAAGUCUUGAUCAUUAGUUAAUUCAAUCAUGGCCAGCGAUUCUAACUUGUGUGG